ACCGGUGUUUGUAGAUGUUUUGGUCAUAUCCAGGCACCGGAAACAAGCAGUAACCACAACAUGGACCUUUCACCUUACAGGUUGAUGAGGCUAACCUGUAAGCACACCGCGUUGUCCAGCAGCUACGAAGCAACACCGAUGAAUUGAGCUGACUGAGACCAGAAUCCCGUUGAAUAUCCAGCUGCAUUGAAAACACAGGCCUGCGUUCAUCUUCAGGGGAGAGGACUGACACCCUCCACCUACAAACCCGAAACCUCACUUUAACUAACAGACAGCAGGCCUGUGGUGACCGCUGGUGGUCUGGAGAGGCCACAUGGAAGACGAGAAACUGAAGCCUACAUAAAAUGACAGGAACGGGCCAUCCAGUCUACAAAUGAAGGAAGAGAUCUGAAUGCGUCCUGGAGAGCCUCCCCAGUGAUCACCGAAUGGAAAUAAAGCAGAUUGCUUGAAUAAAUAAGAACAACCACAACCAACUGACUGGCUAGAUGUGCUGUAGCGGUAUAUUUUGCCCCGAGCAAUGUUUUAAUGUGUGAAAAUCAAAAACAGUUACAGGUUUUGCAUCAUGUACACAGAGUGGAGGCAAUUGGGUUGCUGCUGUAUGCUGGAAAGCAUCCGCUUUUCAAAAUUAGGACUUGGUCCUGUAUCAGCAUCCCCCCCACACCCCCCCACCCCCAGAAAACAUGAUGAAUAAUUAAAUAAUAAAUAGUGGAAAUGAGGAAAAUGUCA